AACACGGACCAAGGAGUCUAGCAUGUGCGCGAGUCAUUGGGACUCACUAAACCUAAAGGCGCAAUGAAAGUGAAGGUCCGCCUUGCGCGGACCAAGGGAAGAUGGGCGCGUCCGGUGAUUACCACGGCCGCCCCGCACUCCCGGGGCGUCUCGUUCUCAUUGCGAGAAGAGGCGCACCAAGAGCGUACACGCUGGGACCCGAAAGAUGGUGAACUAUGCCUGGUCAGGACGAAGUCAGGGGAAACCCUGAUGGAGGUCCGUAGCGAUUCUGACGUGCAAAUCGAUCGUCGGAACUGGGUAUAGGGGCGAAAGACUAAUCGAACCAUCUAGUAGCUGGUUCCCUCCGAAGUUUCCCUCAGGAUAGCUGGCGCUCGUCGCCUACGAGUCUCAUCCGGUAAAGCGAAUGAUUAGAGGCAUUGGGGUCGAAACGGCCUCAACCUAUUCUCAAACUUUAAAUGGGUGAGAUCUCCGGCUUGCUCAAACAUUUAAUGAAAUGAAGCCGUGAGACACGGAUCAGAGUGCCAAGUGGGCCAUUUUUGGUAAGCAGAACUGGCGCUGUGGGAUGAACCAAACGCCGAGUUAAAGCGCCUAAAUCGACGCUUAUGGGAUACCAUGAAAGGCGUUGGUAACUUAAGACAGCAGGACGGUGGCCAUGGAAGUCGGAAUCCG
rnacentral:rRNA from 1 species